UCAUUAGUCUGGGUGAUCCUUACCUGUAGCCUCUUUUAGAGGCUCAGAUAAGUGAUGAAGUGAUGACAUUGGGAUUAUGAGUUUUAUGACUUAUAACCUCCCUAAGCUUUUGUUGACCGCAACUCGACUUAAGCUUUGUCUGAU